rnacentral:rRNA from 1 species
UACGAAGGGGGCUAGCGUUGUUCGGAAUUACUGGGCGUAAAGCGCACGUAGGCGGGCGAUUAAGUCAGGGUUGAAAUCCCGGAGCUCAACUCCGGAACUGCCUUUGAUACUGGUCGUCUAGAGAUCGGAAGAGGUGAGUGGAAUUCCCAGUGUAGAGGUGAAAUUCGUAGAUAUUGGGAAGAACACCAGUGGCGAAGGCGACUCACUGGACAAAUAUUGACGCUGAGGUGCGAAAGCGUGGGGAGCAAACAGG